rnacentral:rRNA from 1 species
CUUGCAAAACAUAAGAGGUCCUGUCUGCCCAGUGACACCGUUCAACGGCCGCGGUAUUCUGACCGUGCAAAGGUAGCGCAAUCAUUUGUUUUCUAAUUAAAGACCUGUAUGAAAGACCCCACGAGAAUCUAACUGUCUCCUCUCUCUAAUCAGCGAAAUUAAUCUCCUCGUGAAAAAGCGAGGAUUCUAACAUAAGACGAAAAGACCCUGUGGAGCUUUAAACAAACUAACAACUAAUAUACUUCAUCCACCCUAUAUUGAGAUGAUUACAAGUUUUUGGUUGGGGUGACCAUGGAGCAAAAACCAACCUCCAAGAUGAUAAAGGACCCCCUUUAACAUAAAACUACAAUUUUAUGUAUCAGAAUACUGACAUCAAUUGACCCUUCUUGAUCAACGAAC